rnacentral:rRNA from 1 species
GCAGUCGCCGCGGUAACACGUAGGUGGCAAGCGUUGUCCGGAAUGAUUGGGCGUAAAGGGCUCGCAGGCGGUUUCUUAAGUCUGAUGUGAAAGCCCCCGGCUCAGCCGGGGAGGGUCAUUGGAAACUGGGAAACUUGAGUGCAGAAGAGGAGAGUGGAAUUCCACGUGUAGCGGUGAAAUGCGUAGAGAUGUGGAGGAACACCAGUGGCGAAGGCGACUCUCUGGUCUGUAACUGACGCUGAGGAGCGAAAGCGUGGGGAGCGAACAGGAUUAGAUACCCCUGUAGUCCCUGUCUCUUAUAC